GUUCUGUUUGUUCCAGGUAACAGUGCCCCCACCCUCACCGUCCUGCCCCCGUUUAGUGAGGAGCUGUCCAGUACAACAACAGCCACACUGACGUGUCUGGCCAACAAGGGCUUCCCCUCAGACUGGACCAUAAGCUGGAAAGUGGACGGGACCAGCCAGAAUCAGGAGGCCAGUUCUAGGGUCCUGGAGAAGGAUGGCCUGUACAGCUGGAGCAGCACCCUGACUCUCACUGGCCAGGAGUGGACCAGGGCAGGAGAGGUGACCUGUGAAGCCCAGCAGAUAUCCCAGACUCCGGUCACCAAGACCCUGAGGAAGGCUGACUGUUCUGGAUAGGACCCCUCAGUCACACACCCCUGUGGAGAGAGGCUGCUGGUUCCUCUGCUUUGAUUCUGUUCUGAGAUCAGAUGUUCUCUAUCUUAUUGAUCACUGACAUGUAGACUAACAGAGGGCUUUGCUUGAGUCAUUGUGUCAAUCCUCUCUGUAGACUGAGAUUGUAUCAGUGUUAGAUUUGAUGUGUUCUGUUUUAUUACUUUUAGAUACUGUAGGAAUGAUUGCUUUGAUGCUUUGAUUAAUAGACGAAAAUAAAGACUUCUCGUUGG